GUAGGACACCCCUCUUUCUCCUGUUAACUAGUUAAUUCAAGCAGACAUCACUGGCAGAAGGCAAUCUGCUCAGCCACUUUGCUGUGCAGAAGCAGGUUGGUGUAUGGCAGCAGGCAGAGAGCUCCAAGAACAAUCUCCACAUUGUGCUGGAUUUUUUUGUAUGGUCUUUCUUCACAGGCAUUCAAGAACCAGUCCUUUAAUAAUUUCUUCUUAUACAACGUGUAAUGAAAGGCAUAAAGAAGAGGAAGACAGCUGAAGGCUCUGAAGGAGUUUUCACAGGUCUCACAGACAAAUGUUUGUUAGAACCAAAUUUUACUGCGAAGUUACAUGAACCUUAAAUACAACAAGUACUUUGAUAAAGGAAAAGCAGAAGAAAAUGCAAUGAGAUCUUUCUAAAAUUAAUGACUUUUAUUGAUUAGAUCAUUGGUCUGUUAUGUGAGAGAGAUGUAUUAAUUCCAAAGUGCCUACCAUUCCUUAAUGCAUUUGCCUACUACACGGAGAAAUGCAAAUAAAGCUGAAGCAAGUUUGCAGAAAUAUUAUGAAGCAAACACUGGCCAAGCACAGGGGGUCAGUAUGAAUUUUUGUCCAAAGGAAAAAAGUCUAAUGUGAAGUGAAUAUUUCCUCCAGGAACUGUUUUGCUUUGUGGAGGAGGCUGCUCCCCAAAACUGAUAUCCUGCAAACAGGGCAGGUUUGCAAACUGAUAACACAAAGCUGACUUUUCAUCACAUGAAGGCUGGGUGAAUGUUUCACUGAUGGUCAGAAACUUUCUUGUGCUUCCAGAUCCUUUUCCAGGUGGACCUUAUGCUCCAAAGCAAAAUUCUUACAGAUAACUUAAUUCUUACAGAUAACUGUGACUUUAGCUGUAACUUGUAGCAGAAGUUAUGAGGUGCACUCUGACAGAUCUGAACAUAAGUGCUACUUAGAAAUUCAGUCACCUCCUGAUCCAGCUUGCUGCUUUAAUGGAGGUGCUUUAAUAUGUAAAUUAAACAGAAUGGCGCAGAUUUUUAGGUAAGCUUCAAACUCCUGUAGUUGACUUCAAGAAGAGCAGGACUGUAUGGCUUUUUCUUUCCCACAUAUGUUGUUUACUUAAUUUUUGUCCAUAAGUUGUAAUCAGUAAUCAGCAUUAGUGUAUUUAUCUGUUACAAUGAAUCAAUCAAAAAUAAUAAAAUAUUAAUUUACCCUCAGGGAAACAAAGCAGAAACAAACAUUCAUAUAAAGCAUUAAGCCAUGAUUUGCUUCAUUUACUGUGUGCAGUUCCUGUCUUGUGGAACAUUUGUUUCUUAGUAUUUCAUGCUCUACUCAGCAGGUUAAUCCCAUGAGACCUCACUGGCACUGCAAAAAUCAUAAGGCUCUCUAACUUUGUAUUUAUUAUAUGUUUAAUACCUGAAAGAAGAUAAAAAAUAUGGAAAACAGACUCCAUGGUGUAAGUCAUGUGAUGGGAAGAUGGCCAAAGAUCUCUGCAAGAGUACUUGAAGACACACUGGAUAUUUUCAGGAAUCUAAUUAAAAUAUUCAUAUUCAAGGAAUGGGAAAAACCCAGCCCCAAACAAAUCAAAACCAAUGGCCAAGGAAUGUUAAAGCAGAUAGUGUUUUUCCUGAAAGUAAGCUAUUUACUGCUGUUGCCUUUACAGAAAUGGUGAUUUCCUCCUGAUGCAUAAUGUUAGAUAAUUGAAAUGGAUGACACUAAAGAAAGUGUUUGGGUUUACCCCAAACUUAGUAUCCAGUAUUUUUGUAGGCUUGCUCAAGUUGGCUCUGUUUUUAGCAAAGCUUCUUUUUUGUAUCUGUUUAUCUCAAAUCUGAAGGACCCAGCUGGGACUGCAAGUUAAAAAGCCAAAAAAAUGUUGGAAAAAUUUAAGUAUUUCUAAAUCACUGAGCAGAGUUAACUUUCUGAGGGAGGAUUAUUUUGGAGAAGUGUAGCCUCUCUUCUCAACCUGAUAUUGUCCAUUUACAAGUGCUUUCCAGCAUUCAGCACAGCUCAGGGUAAAUUUUGGUAAUAUUAUUUCAGAGAUAUUUUUCCUUAUGAUAGCGUUAAUUGAAGUGGAACAGAAAAAUAUAGAAUAUUCUUAAGAAAAAGAAGGUCUCCCCUCAUAAAUUAAAUGAUCCAGUAUUCUAGAGUCCAUUGAAUAGUACAUUUCAGCCAAAUACCAAUGUCUUCUACAAUACAGGAGAGAACCUACUUGCACCUGCAGAGUGGUCCAGAUGACAGAAGUUGAGGCAUUAAUCAAUUAAUUUAUUAAUUAAUGUGAUAAAUUAAUAGGGCAGCAGUUUGUUAAUUCUAUUAGGUAAUGAGCAUACACGAAAAUUUCACAAUUACUUUGUCAUAUUUGGACUGACACUUCUGUAAAUGAUUUUUUGCCUUUAAAAAGGCAAACCACAUAAUCCAGAAAUCCUCUCUAAAGCUUGUACCAGGAACAGAUGGGCAUUACAGCUGAAGGAAAGAGGAGUGGAGCUCUGCUGGCAUGCAGAGAGAAGAGCUGCAGAGCCUCAAGGCUCGGUGGUCCACCUGCAGAGCUGGUGGUCAGUGUGUGCAGCUCCCUUGGGGCUGCCUUUUCAGAUGAGUAGUUUGGUCAGGUUUUGCAUUUCACGUUGCAGACAAAAAAUUCUUGGGAUGCUUCGCUUCACCUUUGUGUAAGUUGAGCAGUUCCAAAUACACACUUCAUAGAUUUUUUUUUUUGUUACACUUUUGAAAGUCCAUUAAAAUGACAAAAGAACCUCAAACCACCAAAACCAAUACCUGAUGGCUUUCAUACCUUGCUUAGCUUGAGAUAAUAUUUAUUCCAUGCUAUCUGAUCUGAUCAGCAGUAAAUGAGAAAGAAAAAAGUACAGCCAGCUUUUAAUUAGGCAUUAUACUAUGAAAGUAUGCAAAUAAAGAAGCUAUCAUUUGUCAAUUUGUCUAAUAUCAACUCAAAUGCCCACAGGGGAUCCCCAGAAGUAUAAGGGGAGAAAGAAGGUUUGCCAUAAUAGAAGCCUUAUCCUUCCAUGUUGAGUUAAGGACUCCAGAUAGGCGGAUGAAAUAUUAAGUAAAAUGCAGAAGUAACUAGUUUUUGCAUUGAUUGUAUUCUGGCCUGUAAAAACUGAUAAAGUAAUUAACAUAAAAAGAGUACAGAAAUAGCAGAAAUACCCUAGCUUUUGCUGGAUAAGUAAAAUGGAAAAACAAGUGGCAGCUCUAAGAGGGGAAAAUUGUCCAAAUAUUGGGGGAAGUAUAGAAAACAAACACAUUUCCAAUCAGAAUUUCUAGUACUGUACAGAUAACCCCAUUGCAAUAAAGAGAAACUGAACUGAAAAUAUGAAUGGGAUUACAAAAUCAAAUUAAAUUUAUCACUUAUCCUGAUGACUUAUACUUCUGUCUUGAAUAAAUAUCUGUGGCCAGUAUUUGAAGCUUGGAAUUUUCCCAAAGCCUUUAAGCUCCUCCAAACUGAUGAUAGGACUUGUUCUCUUUGAUGAAACUGGUUAGAAAGCAAAUUGUGCAACUGAACAGCCAGAGGACCAAGCCUUAUUCUGUCUCUCUGAGGUUUGGACUCUAGCUGCGGA